UUCAAGUCAAAACAAAGGAAAACCUCUGGAC
rnacentral:piRNA from 1 species